GACGGGAAUUGAACCCGCGCAUGGUGGAUUCACAAUCCACUGCCUUGAUCCACUUGGCUACAUCCGC
rnacentral:tRNA from 1 species